GUCCUACUCCCUAUAGCUAGAGACAGGUCAGUUUAAUGUAAUUGAGAGCCCUGUCCUGUUCCCUAUAGCUAGAGGCAGGUCAGCUGAUUGUAAUUGAGAGCCCUGUCCUGUUCCCUAUAGCUGGAGACAGGUCAGUUUAAUGUAAUUGAGAGCCCUGUCCUGUUCCCUAUAGCUAGAGACAGGUCAGCUGAUUGUAAUUGAGAGCCCUGUCCUGUUCCCUAUAGCUAGAGGCAGGUCAGCUGAUUGUAAUUGAGAGCCCUGUCCUGUUCCCUAUAGCUAGAGACAGGUCAGUUUAAUGUAAUUGAGAGCCCUGUCCUGUUCCCUAUAGCUAGAGGCAGGUCAGCUGAUUGUAAUUGAGAGCCCUGUCCUGUUCCCUAUAGCU